rnacentral:rRNA from 1 species
UACGUAGGGGGCUAGCGUUGUCCGGAUUUAUUGGGCGUAAAGAGCGUGUAGGCGGCCAGGUAGGUCUGCUGUGAAAACUCGAGGCUCAACCUCGAGACGUCGGCGGAAACCAUCUGGCUAGAGUCCGGAAGAGGAGAGUGGAAUUCCUGGUGUAGCGGUGAAAUGCGUAGAUAUCAAGAGGAACACCUGCGGCGAAGGCGGGUCUCUGGACAGUUCCUGACGCUGAGGCACGAAGGCCAGGGGAGCAAACGGG